GAUGAACGCUGGCGGCGUGCCUAAUACAUGCAAGUCGAGCGAACGGACGAGAAGCUUUCUUCUCUGAUGUUAGCGGCGGACGGGUGAGUAACACGUGGAUAACCUACCUAUAAGACUGGGAUAACUUCGGGAAACCGGUGCUAAUACCGGAUAAUAUUUUGAACCGCAUGGUUCAAAAGUGAAAGACGGUCUUGCUGUCACUUAUAGAUGGAUCCGCGCUGCAUUAGCUAGUUGGUAAGGUAACGGCUCACCAAGGCAACGAUGCAUAGCCGACCUGAGAGGGUGAUCAGCCACACUGGAACUGAGACACGGUCCAGACUCCUACGGGAGGCAGCAGUAGGGAAUCUUCGGCAAUGGGCGAAAGCCUGACGGAGCAACGCCGCGUGAGUGAUGAAGGUCUUCGGAUCGUAAAACUCUGUUAUUAGGGAAGAAAAUAUGUGUAAGUAACUGUGCACAUCUUGACGGUACCUAAACAGAAAGCCACGGCUAACUACGUG
rnacentral:rRNA from 1 species